CAAAACCCAGCAGUUUCGGGUGUGCCCGCAGUGCCUCCUGCCAGCCACGGAGCCGCAAUGUGAGUGGAGCAGCACCUCAGGCUCGUCUGUCUGCUCCAGCAACUGAGAGAUGUUGCUUUGCUUCAGCACAAUGGAGUGGGGUUUUGUAAUGAAACCAGCUCUGAGCCUCCAUUGAUUUUAACAAAAUUAAGUUUAUGACAUAUAAACAUAUCUACCUAUAGGCUGCAGCCGUGUUCCAGCUUUAUGUGAUUGAGGCAUCUGAAGAAGGCUCAAGAGGAGUGGCAGAGGUGCCUGGAGUAUUGAAUCUUGCAGUUCAGUGAACAUGUGUUAGAAACAGUAGUGGAGGAGGAUUGAACUGACUCAUACAUAGAUCAGAUCAAGAAGAUACUGGAGCUUGCAUUGUAGAUUGUUACAUUUAUGGAAUUGAGAACAAGGAUAAAAAUGUAAGUAAAAUGAUAAAAAAGUCAAGAAGGGGAGAGAGCAAAGACCUGCUUGCGAGCCUUUACCUUGAAGACAUGGCCAUGCAUGCCAGAGGGGUGAAAGGAAUCCCUUGGAGAAGGCAGGAUGGCAAGAAGCCUUCUUCAACCUCUGGAUGUUCAGCACACAAAUCCCUGAGAAGGCCAGUAUUUCUUGAGAAUACUUUCUUCCAUUAAUUUUUACAGCAAAUAAAGUAGUUGAAGAACGUGGAAAUACUUGGUAGAAGACACGUGGCUAUGAUGCCAGGUACAGAAAGCAAACUGUAGAUUUGUUAUAACUUUUUCCUUACAUUUUAGGUUUGUCCCGAAGAUUAGUUAGCUAGUGAACAGAAAAUAGGUGUAAUAGAAAGAAAAGCAGAAAGAGGCCACACUUAACAUCACAGAGUAAGAUUUUUUUCUCAUUGGUAUUUCAAGUUGGAUCCUCAAAUCCUUUUUCCAGACUCUAUAGCAAAUAACCAUAUCAGAGGAAGAAAGAUAAAUGUGACUAUAAUGUGCAGGCAAAACUGUGCAUAGCUCAUGCAUAAAAGGAUUCUGGAUUUUGAGGUCUACUAAAUCAGUUGAAUUUUAUUGCAAUAUGUUUCUUUGGUUCAUUUGUUCAGGAAGAGAGCAUAUAUUAAAUAUGAAGACAAUAUAUCUAGGAUAAUAAUGAUUUUAUUAGUUAAGAAAGCAAGGAAACUACGUAAUACCCUAGUAUUCCUUUAUCUGCUUAUCCAGUGCUAGUGUAAUACAUCUUCCUUCUUUAACCAGGAUUCUAAAUGAAUGACAGUCCCAGUAAAUUAUUGAGGUCCUUCUGCCCACUUUAUAAAGGUUGCAUCAUCCAACAAAGAUUAAAAAAAUAAUAAAUGACUCAGGUGGACAAUGAAAUUCUAAAUUUCAAGUAUG